GAUGAACGCUGGCGGCGUGCCUAAUACAUGCAAGUCGAGCGAACGGACGAGAAGCUUGCUUUUCUGAUGUUAGCGGCGGACGGGUGAGUAACACGUGGAUAACCUACCUAUAAGACUGGGAUAACUUCGGGAAACCGGAGCUAAUACCGGAUAAUAUUUUGAACCGCAUGGUUCAAAAGUGAAAGACGGUCUUGCUGGCACUUAUAGAUGGAUCCGCGCUGCAUUAGCUAGUUGGUAAGGUAACGGCUUACCAAGGCAACGAUGCAUAGCCGACCUCAGAGGGUGAUCGGCCACCCUGGAACUGAGACACGCUCCAGACUCCUACGGGAGGCCGCAGUAGGGAAUCUUCCGCAAUGGGCGAAAGCCUGACGGAGCAACGCCGAGUGAGUGAUGAAGGUCUUCGGAUCGUAAAACCCUGUUAUUAGGGAAAAACAUAUGUGUAAGUAACUGUGCACAUCUUGACGGUACCUAAUCAGAAAGCCACGGCUAACUACGUG
rnacentral:rRNA from 1 species